rfam:Lactobacillus kalixensis DSM 16043 Scaffold1, whole genome shotgun sequence.
AUGACCUUUAAAGUUAGUCCCGUGAGGCUAAGAAGGAAAUCUGCGUUGAUCAUGCAGCUUUAUUUUUGCAUGACAUAAACAGAAAGACCAUCUUUGCUAUUUGGACAAGGUGGUCUUUUUUUCUU